AACGAACGCUGGCGGCGUGGAUAAGACAUGCAAGUCGAACGGGGUUUAUUUAAGCUUGCUUUGAUAAACCUAGUGGCGGACGGGUGAGUAACACGUGAGCAACCUGCCCUGAUGUGGGGGAUAGCCCGGGGAAACUCGGAUUAAUACCGCAUGUGAUCGCAAGAUUAAAGGUGGCGCAAGCUGCCGCAUCAGGAUGGGCUCGCGGCCUAUCAGUUUGUUGGUGAGGUAACGGCUCACCAAGACUACGACGGGUAGCUGGUCUGAGAGGACGACCAGUCACACUGGAACUGAGACACGGUCCAGACACCUACGGGUGGCAGCAGUCGAGAAUCAUUCGCAAUGGGGGAAACCCUGACGGUGCGACGCCGCGUGGAGGAUGAAGGCCCUAGGGUCGUAAACUCCUGUCAUCAAGGAGUAAGUCCUUAUAUAGUAACUGAUAUAAGGUUUGAUAGUACUUGAAGAGGAAGGGACGGCUAACUUCG
rnacentral:rRNA from 1 species